rnacentral:rRNA from 1 species
GGCCUAACACAUGCAAGUCGAGCGGAUGAGAGGAGCUUGCUCCUGGAUUCAGCGGCGGACGGGUGAGUAAUGCCUAGGAAUCUGCCUGGUAGUGGGGGACAACGUUUCGAAAGGAACGCUAAUACCGCAUACGUCCUACGGGAGAAAGCAGGGGACCUUCGGGCCUUGCGCUAUCAGAUGAGCCUAGGUCGGAUUAGCUAGUUGGUGAGGUAAUGGCUCACCAAGGCGACGAUCCGUAACUGGUCUGAGAGGAUGAUCAGUCACACUGGAACUGAGACACGGUCCAGACUCCUACGGGAGGCAGCAGUGGGGAAUAUUGCACAAUGGGGGAAACCCUGAUGCAGCCAUGCCGCGUGUGUGAAGAAGGCCUUCGGGUUGUAAAGCACUUUCAGCGAGGAGGAAAGGUUGGCAGCUAAUAUCUGCCAGCUGUGACGUUACUCGCAGAAGAAG